rnacentral:rRNA from 1 species
UACAGAGGGUGCAAGCGUUGUUCGGAAUCACUGGGCAUAAAGCGCACGUAGGCGGCGGCGUAAGUUGGAUGUGAAAUCCCCCGGCCCAACCGGGGAACUGCGUCCAGUACUGCGUUGCUUGAGGAUCCAAGGGGUGCAUGGAAUUCCCGGUGGAGCGGUGAAAUGCGUUGAUAUCGGGAGGAACUCCGGCGGCGAAAGCGGUGCACUGGUGGAUUACUGACGCUGAGGUGCGAAAGCCAGGGGAGCAAACGGG